CACUAAGGGAGCAUGGCCUUUUUAUCAGUGUCACACAAAGACGUCACCUCUUUGUUGAUCUUGGUGGUUUCGGCUCUUCAUUUUCAGACUCUAUCACUCAUGCUUGGAUUCAGAGUGACUUCUAUCCAAGAUAGAGCUGGAUAUGUUCUUCCAAGGCCUCUGCUCAUUCCUGAAGACUUGGGUGCUGCAGUCCCGCACUUGGGCUUAAUAGAACCUGGACUUUCUCAGCUGCAGCAAAUUACCAGGCAGGUCCAGUCUUCCUCCUGUUGCACCAGCUCCUGUCUCUGCUCAUCUCCUCAAAGUAACACAGCAGCAUCCAGCAGUCCUUGCCAAGGAGACUGCAUUGUACCCUGAGUGCUGCACCUUCAGAACCCAGCAACAUCUCAAGAUCAAGACAAGUUGAAGAACGGCAUCCCAGAGCCGAGGUACAUUAGCAGAGGAAAGAAUGAAAGGGUCCUGCAUCAGGGUCACCAACCAGCUCAUUGUGUGAAGGCAGAGUGAGGCACGUCCUGCUCCAUGGCAGUAGGUGUGAAGUGGACAGUUGGCCGUACACCAGCCUUCAGUGCCAUGUGAAUGAAAAGCACCCCAAGCUGAUCUGUGAAUGUCUCAAGAUCAAGACAAGAAACCUGAGUCCCACCCCAGCCCUCCAGCU